rnacentral:rRNA from 1 species
AUUGGGCUAUAUCGUAUCAGCUAGUUGGUGGGGUAAUGGCCUACCAAGGCAAUGACGCGUAGCUGGUCUGAGAGGAUGAUCAGCCACACUGGAACUGANACACGGUCCAGACUCCUACGGGAGGCAGCAGUGGGGAAUAUUGCACAAUGGGGGAAACCCUGAUGCAGCAACGCCGCGUGGAGGAUGACGCAUUUCGGUGUGUAAACUCCUUUUAUAUGGGAAGAUAAUGACGGUNCCAUAUGAAUAAGCACCGGCUAACUCCGUGCCAGCAGCCGCGGUAAUACGGAGGGUGCAAGCGUUACUCGGAAUCACUGGGCGUAAAGCGCGCGCAGGCGGGUAGUAAAGUCAGAAGUGAAAGCCUACGGCUCAACCGUAGAACUGCUUCUGAAACUCAUUACCUAGAGUGUGGGAGAGGUGAGUGGAAUUANU